rnacentral:tRNA from 1 species
AGCUCUGGUGGCGUAAUGGCAGCGUGAGAGGUUUUACCAACCGCUAGGUGCGAGUUCGAUUCUCGUCCAGAGCUGC